rnacentral:rRNA from 1 species
GACGAACGCUGGCGGCGUGCCUAAUACAUGCAAGUCGAACGAAAAGGCCCGGAGCUUGCUCCUUUCACGUUAGCGGCGCACGGGUGAGUAACACGUGUAUAACCUCCCUAUCAGACUGGGAUCACUUCGGGAAACGGGCGCUAAUACCGGAUAAUAUCUUGAACCGCAUGGUUCAAUGGUGAAAGACGGUUUUGGUGUCUCUUCUCGAUGGAUCCGCGCCGGAUUAGCUAGUUGGUGAGGUAACGGCUUAUCAAGGCAAGGAUGCGUAGCCGAACUGAGAGGGGGGUAGGCCACACGGGAGCUGAGACACGGACCAGAGGCCUACGGGAGGCAGCAGUAGGGAAUCUUCCGCAAUGGUCGAAAGCCUGACGGAGCAACGCCGCGUGAGUGAUGAAGGUCUUCGGAGCGUAAAACUCUGUUAUUAGGGAAGAACAACUGUGGAAGUAACUGUGCACGGCUUGACGGUACCUAAUCAGAAAGCCACGGCUAACUACGUG